GUGAGCCACACCUAUGGUAAAGUUGUUGGAGAGACUCACACCAGAGUCAGUGCAGCCCCCGUAAACCUGGGACUUUGAUGAACCAACCAGUGGUCUAGAAGUGUCCUUCCCCUGCACUUCCUGUCACUCAGGUAGAGCCAGAGAAAGAGUCGUCCUCUUUAGUGUGCAGACUUUGAGCUGGAUUGACAGUAAAGUUGGUGAUUACAUCAGCUUAACAUUUAAAUUCAAAUUGAUGAUGAUGAUUUUGAUUUGAUUGAAAUGAUUGUGAUUUAAAGCUAAAUUCAAUUUAAGUUAUUCAAAUCUAUUUUAUUUUAUUUUAUUUCAAACAGAAAGUUGCGUUUUAAUGGACCUUGAAUGACUCAACACCUUGUGACAGUAUCUGCACGUGGCUGGUAAGUCUCCUGAACUCUCUGUGGCUGUUUAAUCAGUAUGUGCAGCACCGGUCAGGUGUCUGUCUCGUUAUAAUAUCGGUAGAACUUGUCAAUGUUCCAGUAUGUACAGAAAACUGCAGCAGAAUGUGGUUUUAUUUGCUUCCUUUGUACCGACGUUGGUAUAGAAGUUAUUUAAUGAAUCACAGGCUACACUUAGAGACAGACAACCAAGCACACUCAC